GCGACGCCGCGUCUCGGUUGAGUUGGGACCCUGGCCGCUGGCAGGAAGCAGGAGCUCGGGGUGAGCGCGCUGGUCUCUGAGUCAAAGCCAGUUCCUGCCUGAUGGUGGAUAAAGAAAUGAUUUCGAGAUCCAGUCACAGCUUUCGUCUUGUGUGCCCACAGAGGGACCAGCUCCAGAGGAUUCCAGCACUGGACAACAGACAUGGUUUAUCCUUCAUUGCACCCAGGGAGCCAAAUGAAGCCCAUUUACUCUGGAGACGUGGAGUUCUGCCCAGCCCCGGUCCUCACACAUUCCACCCUAAUGAGCAAAGAGAAGCAGGCAAGCCUUCCUGAUCUUUGGAGUCCCAAAGCCGCUUCCCUAAACUGGGAGGGAAUAUCAGCCUUGGGCUUUCUCUCUAGCCCAUGACACUGGGCCAGAAGUCA